UAAGAGGUCCCGCCUGCCCUGUGACUAUAUGUUUAACGGCCGCGGUAUUUUGACCGUGCGAAGGUAGCGCAAUCACUUGUCUUUUAAAUGAAGACCUGUAUGAAUGGCAUAACGAGGGCUUAACUGUCUCCUCUUUUAAGUCAAUGAAAUUGAUCUUCCCGUGCAGAAGCGGGAAUACACCCAUAAGACGAGAAGACCCUAUGGAGCUUUAGACACCAAGGCAGCUCAUGUUUAAAGACCCUCGAACAAGAGAUUAAACCAAAUGAAGCCUGCCCUAAUGUCUUUGGUUGGGGCGACCGCGGGGAAAUAAAAAACCCCCAUGUGGAAUGGGAGCACCCCUCCUAGAACCAAGAGGCACACCUCUAAGCAACAGAAUAUCUGACCAACAAGAUCCGGCAAUGCCGAUCAACGGACCGAGUUACCCUAGGGAUAACAGCGCAAUCCCCUUUUAGAGCCCAUAUCGACAAGGGGGUUUACGACCUCGAUGUUGGAUCAGGACAUCCUAAUGGUGCAGCCGCUAUUAAGGGUUCGUUUGUUCAACG
rnacentral:rRNA from 1 species